rnacentral:rRNA from 1 species
UGAACGCUGGCGGCGUGCCUAAUACAUGCACGUCGAGCGAACGGACGAGAAGCUUGCUUCUCUGCUGUUAGCGGCGGACGGGUGAGUAACACGUGGAUAACCUACCCAUAAGACUGGGAUAACUUCGGGAAACCGUAGCUAAUACCGGAUAAUAUUUUGAACCGCAUGGUUCAAAAGUGAAAGACGGUCUUGCUGUCACUUAUAGAUGGAUCCGCGCUGCAUUAGCUAGUUGGUAAGGUAACGGCUUACCAAGGCAACGAUGCAUAGCCGACCUGAGAGGGUGAUCGGCCACACUGGAACUGAGACACGGUCCAGACUCCUACGGGAGGCAGCAGUAGGGAAUCUUCCGCAAUGGGCGAAAGCCUGACGGAGCAACGCCGCGUGAGUGAUGAAGGUCUUCGGAUCGUAAAACUCUGUUAUUAGGGAAGAACAUAUGUGUAAGUAACUGUGCACAUCUUGACGGUACCUAAUCAGAAAGCCACGGCUAACUACGUG